rnacentral:rRNA from 1 species
UACGUAGGGUGCGAGCGUUAAUCGGAAUUACUGGGCGUAAAGCGUGCGCAGGCGGUUUGGUAAGACAGAUGUGAAAUCCCCGGGCUUAACCUGGGAAUGGCAUUUGUGACUGCCCGGCUAGAGUGUGUCAGAGGGGGGUAGAAUUCCACGUGUAGCAGUGAAAUGCGUAGAGAUGUGGAGGAAUACCGAUGGCGAAGGCAGCCCCCUGGGAUAACACUGACGCCUGAUACGCGAAAGCGUGGGAGCAAACAGG